rnacentral:rRNA from 1 species
GACGAACGCUGGCGGCGUGCUUAGCACAUGCAAGUCGAACGGACAGACAGAGAGCUUGCUCUCUUGAAGUUAGUGGCGAACGGGUGAGUAACGCGUAAUCAACCUGCCCUUCAGAGGGGGAUAACAACGGGAAACCGUUGCUAAUACCGCGUACGAUUCAUGAACGGCAUCGUUUAUGAAUGAAAGGUGGCCUCUAUGUAUAAGCUAUCGCUGAAGGAGGGGAUUGCGUCUGAUUAGCUAGUUGGAGGGGUAACGGCCCACCAAGGCAAUGAUCAGACGCCGGUCUGAGAGGAUGAACGGACACAUUGGGACUGAGACGCGGCCCAAACUCCUACGGGAGGCAGCAGUGGGGAGUCUUCCGCAAUGGACGAAGGUCUGACGGAGCAACGCCGCGUGAGUGAUGAAGGGCUUCGGAUUGUAAAGCUCUGUUAAUCGGGACGAAAGAGUUCUGCGUGAAUAAUGCAGAAAAGUGACGGUACCGGAAUAGAAAGCCACGGCUAACUACGUGCCAGCCGCCGCGGUAA